CUUCGCGAGGACGCGUUUGCAGCCCCCUCUGCCUCUCCUGUCUGGCGACCGAGGAGAGGGAGCCGCCUCGCUGGGGCUUCGUGGUAGUGUAUUUCAUAUUGGGGCUCUUUUCGGGGUUUGUAAUUUGGCCGUGGGUAGGUAAUUGGCUGGAGCAGGGCGGCCGGGCGCGGCAGCCAAUCAGCGCGCGGCUUCUAUAGGGCUUGAGUUAUUAGACGCUGAUCUCAAAACAUCCUUCAUCAGACACCAAGGAGAGGCCAACAGAUGAGGGGAGCCAUUUUUCUGCAAUGGAAUUAAAUGGCCAAGUGGGUUUUUCCUUUGUUGCAAAUGGGGAAUGUUUUUCCUUUGACUCCACCAUCCCGUUCAGGACGCCUCAGUGUUGUGUUUAACAUUUGUCAACAAGCUAAAGGACUCAAAAUUGGAAGAAUGAAGAAGACUUUAAAAAGAUCUGGAUUUUUCCUUAUGACUUGGAAUCCAUCUUUGUCUUGUAUAACUAGGUCAUAGCACACCAUUAAUGUCAGCAGUUAACAAUUUUGAAUUACAAAAAACCUAAGUAAAUGACAUAUUUAAUUUUUUUUCCUUUUUUUUUUUUUUUCGUGGGUGGGUGGGGGAGCUUGGAGCUGUCUUAAUCUGUAUUCUCUUAACUGAACAAUAAAUUUUUAUAUAUAUAGUUUCCUCUAUUAAACACUUAAAACUGGCCAUCUUAUUAACUCCUUCUGCUCUUUUUAACAAGGUAAUGUUUUAAAUGUAUAGUUUUAGGAUUAGCGAAAUGGCAGCAACAAAAAACUGUAAGCAGUCGUUACUCUUAAGUGUUUAAAAACCUUUUACAUUGUAAGUACCCAAUCCAUUCUGUCCUUACGCAGUGCAGUUUUCAUGUUAAUGUUGCUGAGAUGUCCUUAAUUUUCUGAACCUUCAUCUGCAUGUAUGUCUUUGUCGCUCUUGUCUAGCAUAAGCCAGUUAAAAUGCUUUUAGACGAUUUUGCUUUUAUAAAGCUAGGUUUUAGAGUUAAGCUUUUGAAAAUGUUUACAGCAAUAAAUGCUAGUCAGCUUUCUUCCCCGUAACAGGUACACUUUCUUUGAAAAUCGAUCUAUUUGAAGAAAAACAGACUCUGUUUUUCUCGUCUUUGUUGGGGAAGGGGGGUUGUGAGGGAAAGGAAGACCUCUUUGUGUAAAGAGACUAAAGCCGUCACAGGAAACUAGAUUAAAACUGGAAAACAAGUCCUAGCUGGUUCGAGCCAAACACCAUCGUUAACGGGGGUAGUUUCUAUGGUGGUUGGGAUGGCCGGUGCGUCUUUUGCCUUUUGUUUGAUUUGACUGUGUAUUUUCGCCUUUUGUCUCUUAAUGACGGUCACACCAUUGCUAUAUCCAGAGCAGUAAACAGUCCUCAGCGAAGCCGCCUUUUGCCAACCCAACCCUGGAAAGUUUGCAGAAGUGGAAGGAGCAGAAAAUGCCAUGAGAGUGUAACUUUAAAAAGCUUGAUCUUCCAGACUCCAUGGCACCGGGCUGAGCGGCUCGUGACUGGAGAAGGGGCCCGGUACCCUCAGAGUGGACCGCCCUCCUUUGGAUAGCAGAAGCAGGUAUAGUCUGACUCUGCCAGUCCCCGCAUUAAGGUAGGUGUGAGCCCUUUCCCAGCCUGCGAGGGCGAUUUGGGGGGCUUUGGCCUGGCGCCCAGGGAGGGCGGGCACCCCAAACCCGCUAGUCUGGUUCUUCGGCCCCUCCCCCACACAGAUGUGUGGGACUGUGUGAAAUCGGCUGCCUGCUGGGCCUGCUUGGUCCAUCCAUCCCCGCCUGUCAGCUUCUGUUGUCAGGAGUUUGGGGCGUGCAAUUCUCUGCCGUAUUUAGCAGCAUAGGAGAGGCUGCACUUACGAAAGUAUUUCCCAGUCGUGUGUUUUGUGGUGGGGGAGGGCCCUGGAUGCCUCUUCUGAAAGGCACAGUCGGCUGCCAGGAAACCGGACCCGGCGCUGGCCCUCCCUUCCGGCCCGCACUGGCGGUGUGUGGGGUGAUUGUAUGAAGCUGGCCCCUUCCUUUCUAAUGUCUGGCUGCUAGGGAGGUGAAGAACAGAAGGACUUGAGAUCUGGGCCAGUUUUCUUUAAGAAAGAGGUUUCUUGACUCGUCUCCUUCCAGGAAAUUCCCACGAUUCCAUCUCACCCAGCCCCCUCCCCCUCAAAGCCCUGUUUCUAGAAUUGGACAAACCCGAAUUUGAAACCUGGCUAGCCGUUUUACCUGCUGUGACCUUGUGUAAGCAGCGCAGUCUCUCAGCCCCAGUUUCCCCAUCCGAACAAAUGGGUCAGUGAUUGUCAAAGUGUGCAUCCGAUCACACGGGUGGCUCAUUAAAAUACUCCGAGACCCCAUCCUUGAGUUUCUGAUUCAGUUGGUGGGGCCUGAGAACUCUCAUUUCUAAUAAAAUUCCCAGGUUUUGCUCAUGGCUGCCUGGUGGAGACACAUUCUGAGAACCUUUGUGCCGGGUAACACCUUGGGGUGUUGAAAGGACCUGAACUUGUGCACUUGAAGCCCCGACCUCAUUUCUUGGUGCAGAGUCAAGGGCUUCGUAGUAAUGGCAACUCUCAUUUUCCUAACACAGGCUGAUUGUAAGGGGUCUCCUGUCCUCUUGAUCUCCAGGAAGCUCCACAGCUGGAGAUAGUGUGACCCUUGAUCUCUGACCCCUCCCCCAUGUGAGCUCUAGUUUGUGAUUACUUUGAUGAACCAUUUGGGUCCCUGCUGAUUGCACAGCCUCCCCCCUUUUGGGUUCAGGCUUCCCAGUCUGAUCGGCUCUGUUCACUUUUAUCCCAUCCCUCAGUGUAGGGGCUGGAUUGAGGAUUGGAGGAGCCUUAGGGCUUGCCCAGAGAUUCUGUUGGGGCAGUGUUGGUGUUUCAUCAAGGGAAGCUGUAGGUCAGGCAGCUGUGGGCUUGACUCUCCAGGGUGCUAGUGACCUUGGGCGAGUCUCCUGUGUAAAGUGAUGAUAAUGAAGCCUGCUGUAAAGGGUGGAGGGCAGAUUAAGUGCGAUUAAGGGGUGCCGGCCUCACGUUCUGGCUUCACAUUAGUUGGCCUUCAUUCCUAGGUGGCUGGGCCAUCUGUAGGCUCCUCCCCAACUUGCCCACCCCACAGCAUGUGGCGAAGCCUCUGGGCAAAGGGGAAGACUGACUUUCUGCCGGCUGGGAGCCAGCACUGUUUUUCCUCCAGUGUGUGAGUUGGGGUUGUGGCCCUUCCUCAAGUCCACAGGCUGUUCCAUAAUGGGUCCUGAUUUAGGGGUGUGCCCCCCCACCCCGGCAACUGGGAGAGUAGAAGUGACUCAUUCAAGGUCAGGAGGCCACCACGGGCAGUCAGAAUGAGGUUCCAGGUGUCUUGACUUCCAGCCCAGCGCCUGUGUCCGUGGCACCCCCUCGCCCCAGCUGUCUGGGUUAUUUUGGUCUCCUGCCCAUGCCAGCUGUCUGCUGGCAUCACUGCCCAGGAGCCGGCAAAGCUGUCUGGUUGAAAGUAGCCAGCAUGGUACUCGUAGUUCCUUCUGGCUGCCGAGUCUUGACCACAUGAGGAUCUUAUCCCAGAUAAGCUGGAUUUGGUCCAUCCUGUCCUUUGCUCGGGUGAAGGGGGUGCAGUUGACUACACUGGGCACUAGACUCCCUUUCCCCUACCCAGAGUGAGCACUUUGUAAAAGCUGGUGAGGCUCAGAUUAUUAAUACCCUAUACUAUGAGCCUCUUCCCACGUACACACUUGUCCCAGUCCUAAGGUUUAGAUUCUGCUCUGCCAUUGAUGUGUUCAUUCAACUCCCUUCGAUUCUCAGGUGACGUUUCUGCCACCUAAGAGUGUCCUCCAUCCUUUUCUGAUCGAGUCCUUGGGGCUCCGCGGACCAGUGGUCUUUACCUCCCGUGGGCACUGGAUGGUUAAAUAAUUGAAAUCUUUCCCUCUCAGCAGCAGCCUGAAGGGCUACAGCCAGUUCCAGUUCCUCCACACCCGCCCUCGGACCAAUUAGGGAACAAUGAGGCUCUCCCCUGGGUUCGGGGUGUGAUUCUUGGAAAUGGAGGGGUGUCCGGAAGACCUGGAAGGAUUGUACCCCCUUCUCGCUUCUUAGUCUUUUUUUCUACCUCUUGAAUUUGUUUGUCCGCAUGCUGGUAUCACCUCCUAGGUGAAGGGAGGAGCGGGGCAGCCUAUCGUCCUCAGACGGUGGUUCCUGCGCGGGAGGGUGGCCCCGCCCACCGGUCACCCAGCGAGCUCGGGGCGGGGCGUUCCUGGCGCCCAGCCGGUGGAGCCUGCCUGGAGAGGGCCACGCCAGCGGAAGGGCGGCUGGGAGGUGGCCGGACCUGCCUUACUACUGGACGCCAGGGCCCCGCCCCUUCCGGCUUGUCGGCCAACGGGCGCGGUGUGGAGUACGACCUUUCGGACAGACCCUCUGGGUGGAAACUCAGCGUCUGCCUGGACUGUGGAGGGCACCCGGCCAUCUCAGAGGCCGCCUGGGUCCAGUGCUGUCUGUCUCCUUCUGGCCAGUGACCUCGACAAAAUCCCGCCCCUCCAGGACUCAUAGUCUCUUGUGAACCAGGAGGAGGAAGGUGGCGGAUAACCUCUUGAGCUGUUUCUGAGUCUGGCUUUAUGAAGGCCGCUUUUUUACUCUGGCAGUCACUCCCCCAACCCUGUUACCAAAUGUCGAGCCUGGAGGAGAGCCCUAGCACAGGAAGAGACAGCUUUGAUCCCCCAGGCCACCCUGGGCCACCUCCCAUCUCUGGGACCUCAGAGGAUGGCUCCAUUAACUUCUGUCCCACAUGGGGUGGAUGACCCCUCAGGUGUGCAGUGACCUCCGACAGUGUUCCUGAGGCACUAGGGAAGUGGAAGCCAUAGCAUUGCUGUUCACUUCCCUGUCCUAAUCUGUGCUGGCCAGACCUUGACCUCAUAAGACAGAAGUGUAUCUGGCCCUACUUCUCUCCUGGGGUCAGUUGGCCUCACUAGACACCCAGGGCUUCCCAGGUGGCCCAGACGGUAAAGAAUCUGCCUGCAAUGCAGGAGACCUGGGUUCAGUCCUUGGGUUGGGAAGAUCUGGAGAAGGGAAUGGCUACCCACUCCAGUAUUCUUGCCUGGAGAAUCCCAUGGAUAAAGGAACCUAGCAGGCUACAGUCCAUAGGGUUACAAAGAGUCAGACAUGGCUGAACGAUUUAACACUGGGAGAGCCCCUAGGCCUAAGUGUGAACACAAGUCGCUUCACCCCCACAAAUGUCACCUGCCAACUCCCCUAGGCUUCUGUGUACCAACAGUUCUGUGGCAAGAACCGGGUUAAAGAAUUUUUUUCUUCUCCCAAAUCUCUCCAGGAAUUCCUAGUGAAGAGAAGAAUGGAUCUGGGUCCUCAGAUUGUGUUGCAGGUCUGUGCUCUUUGAAAGUUUCCAGGGGCAGUCUCUGCUGCCAUCUGGUGGUCAGGUUAUGCCUUGCAGCCGCCGAAAACGUUGACCUGGCAUUUAUGGAACUGCCAGGCUGGCAACUUCCUCUGGAAAUAAAGUUUACCUGAUCUUUGCUGAGUGCUUGAAAAUGGGGAACCUUUGGGGUGAAGGCAAGAAGAUCCUGAGUCCUGCCAGCUCUUCUCUGAGGAAAUUAUCAGAGAUCUUAUCCUAGCUGGGAAAGACCCUGCUUUCUCACCUAGCCAUGCCCUGGUGCCUGCCUGGUACACGCUUGCUCCUGAGGAUCCCUCUGCAACCACUGGCCUAAUUUGUGCAAAGCACAGCCCAAAGUGCAGGGAGGGGUGGGGGCAGGAAGGUUUCAGCCAGCCUUCCUGAUAGUACUCAUCCAGAGUAAACGCUCAAGAAAUAGCCGUUUUGGUCAUGGGGUAAGGAGGGUUAGGGAGACAGCUUGAGAAGGAUAGGUAUUUCUGCUGUCUGGAGAAUACAAAUAAAGUGGACGGAAGGGGGCCCAGCUGAAGGCGACUACAUCUACCCUGGCCUUCCCUGUCCUCUCCUCGACGGAGUCUCUGCUCACGCCUCUGGGUCUUGCUAGAAAGAGGCUCCCGCCCGCGUGGUUUGGGGCCAACUCUCGAAAGGGCAUUGUUAUGAGUCAGCUCACCUGUUUCCAAAGUCCCCGCGCAGAUGCCAUCGCCCAGCAGAGGGCGCCAGACCUCCACCUUUGGGAGGUGGGGUGAUAGGUAAGCGGAACUGCUAUUCCCCAGCCCGCACACAGACUCAGACGGCCGGAUCAGGUGGGCCGACUUGACCCUCAUGCUAGGAUAUUGGGCACCACCGAUGCUACCUUCUGGGGGAAAUUGCAGUCAGAGCGGACUUCCCCAAGGCCAUGUAAUUGGGGCGGGGCGCAGAUGGGGGCAUUUUCCUAGCGCUUGAGACCAAGGCUCCUCAAACCGGCGUGUUGGGGACAUCCUGCCAAUCAAAAGGAUGCGAUCCGAUGGGAGGCCAAAUCGGCCAAUCAAAGGGUCUCUGCCUGAAGACAGCCUGCCAAUGCCGGGCGGGAAGAGGCGGAAACGAUCGGACCUUGCCGGUGAGGGGCGCGCAGUGAUGCACAGGGGAGGAGAUGGGAGUUGCCAUCGCCGCCGAGCUCUCCAUUUCUCAGUUGCCUCAGUUUUCUUGGGAAUGAGACUGAAGUCA
ensembl:lncRNA